UACGAAGGGGACUAGCGUUGUUCGGAAUCACUGGGCGUAAAGCGCACGUAGGCGGAUUUGUAAGUCAGGGGUGAAAUCCCGGGGCUCAACCUCGGAACUGCCUUUGAUACUGCGAAUCUUGAGUCCGAUAGAGGUGGGUGGAAUUCCUAGUGUAGAGGUGAAAUUCGUAGAUAUUAGGAAGAACACCAGUGGCGAAGGCGGCCCACUGGAUCGGUACGUGACGCUGAGGUGCGAAAGCGUGGGGAGCAAACAGGAUUGAGAAACCCU
rnacentral:rRNA from 1 species